AGUGAACGCUGGCGGUAGGCCUAACACAUGCAAGUCGAACGGCAGCACAGUAAGAUCUUGCUCUUACGGGUGGCGAGUGGCGGACGGGUGAGGAAUACAUCGGAAUCUACUUUUUCGUGGGUGAUAACGUAGGGAAACUGACGCUAAUACCGCAUACGACCUACGGGUGAAAGCAGUGGAUCUUCGGACCUUGCGCGAUUGAAUGAGCCGAUGUCGGAUUAGCUAGUUGGCGGGGUAAAGGCCCACCAAGGCGACGAUCCGUAGCUGGUCUGAGAGGAUGAUCAGCCACACUGGAACUGAGACACGGUCCAGACUCCUACGGGAGGCAGCAGUGGGGAAUAUUGGACAAUGGGCGCAAGCCUGAUCCAGCCAUACCGCGUGGGUGAAGAAGGCCUUCGGGUUGUAAAGCCCUUUUGUUGGGAAAGAAAAGCAGCAGGUUAAUCCCCCGCUGUUCUGACGGUACCCAAAGAAUAAGCACCGGCUAACUUCGUG
rnacentral:rRNA from 1 species